ACUUGUAACUAACACGACAAAAAUGACUGAGAUGUUUACUAAUGCAUUCUCUCUUGAUGGCCAGGAAAAUACAAAAUAACCCAUUUACCAUAUUUUACUUCUAUGAUUUACCCUCAGAACCAAAUGUUUAAAACAAAGAUGCCACUGGGAAUUCAAAUACCUAAGCUAUAGUAAGAAAUGUCCCAGUGCAUCAUCAUCCAGAUAUUACCUCCUGGCCAUUCUAGAUUUAAGAGUGAGGUCCACUCUUUCUAGUGCAGAGCCACAGCCAGUUCACAGAAGGAUAUUUUUAUUUUGCCAGAUAAUAGAAAGAUCUUAUUUAAAUCCUCUGUCGUUCAGUCUAAUCGCAGGUGGGGUUUUCAGCCCAUUGACUUGAGGCUUUAACCUUUCUAAAUUCCUAACGUGUUCUGAAGAUCUGGCAUUUCAUGAGACUUAAAGACUCUGAUCAGCAUGUAGGUCUUUUGGAAGAUGGUGGUCCAGUACUCCUGGCUUCCUUGAGGAAGGCUGCAGCCCUGAUGUUCCACGAGUGGCAAGUGCUAGUGCUGCUCCUGUCCUGUCCCCCGCCCGGAGUAAUUUUGACGCUGAGUUCGUGAAUAAGGAGGUUGGCAAAAGCAAAGGCAAAGCAAGGCAAAGGCAACAAUGUCUGAAGAUUUAAAAAAAAAAAAAAAGCAAACUCUGCCAAAUCCCGGUUGUCUGUUUCGUAUUAUCUCUUUAUUGAUAUUCUUUAUUUAGUGAGGUAUCCUCCUUAUGGUUUCUUUUAGUUCUUUGUAUGUGAUAUCCUUCAGCAACUUGAGCAUAUUUAAAAGUUUUUUUUUUUAAUUCUGUCUACUAACUCCAAUGACUAGGAUUUCUCAGGGACAAUUUCUAUUACUUUUUUUUUUCUCUCCCCCUGUGUAUAGCACAUACUUUCUUGUUUAUUUGCAUGCCUUAGAAUUUUUUGCUGAA